UCCUUGGUUGGUAGUAGAUCAGUAGCAAGAACAUUUUGCUGAGUAUUUUAUACGCUCGCAGUGUUGAUUAUAAAUGCAUGUAAAAUUUUAUAUCAACCUAUGUUUUUAAAACUCUUAAAGUAUUGCAUAUCUAUGUAGUACGCGUUGGAUAUGGAAUAAUAUGUUAACAAUGUAAUGCAGAUGCCUGUCCCCCUUUUAACAUGAAUACCUUUGAAAUUCUUGCAAAACUGCCACUCUACAUGCAGAUAUCGGAGCCAAAGCGGCCACUGCGUUGUCUGUUUCGUGCUGUGGGAUAUUUUCGGUAUUUCUGAUACUGAUAAUCGUGUUCUGUACUGCAAGUGACCAUUUGGCUAACAAUAAAAGUCGAAACGAGAAGAUUGGGAAAUUCUAUCAGGCAGAUUGUUUUGAUAUAUGAAACUCGUAAAAUUCAUUGAUAUGGCAAUGUGUACUAUAUACUACCAUAUUAACAACAAAUGCACUUUGACUGAGUGUCUAAAAUUGGUAUACAUUAAUUCAUUCUUAGUUUCCUAAAGCUAAAUCAUAGUUUUUAAUUUACCGUUUCAUAAAAAUUCGUUCUUUUUAAACUCUUUACAAACCCCUUUCAUUGAAAAACUACACCAUUUUGUAUUGAACCACGCAAACUGAAAUCCCUUCAUUAUUAGUGUCUAUUUUGUUGCUUGAUAACAGUUUCAAUUUUGGAGUGACAUGUUAGUUUUUAGUUUGAGUUAAUAAAAUUCAACAUUCCUAAUUAGGGCUCAAACCCUUAAAUUAUAUAAUAAAAUAAGGGCAGAAAAAUUUGUGAAAAAUAUCUAAAUUAUUUAAGUUCAUAUAUCUUUCGCUGUUCGCUGUUGGGGCGGAGAUAACACGGAUGGACGUGAUAUUAUGGGAUAGUGAUGCGUCUCAAACAGCCUCUCCUGUCCAAAUGUCAACCUCACCUACAUGCGGUGGACCCUGCUUUGUACAGACUAGGCUUUGAGGACCGAGGCACAUAUUCAUGCUAGAAUUAGGACCGCUUCUCAUUUGGAUAUUAAAAAAAAGUGGAUUAAUGGUAA